rnacentral:rRNA from 1 species
UAACACAUGCAAGUCGAGCGGUAGAGAGGAGCUUGCUUCUCUGAGAGCGGCGGACGGGUGAGUAAUGCCUAGGAAUCUGCCUGGUAGUGGGGGAUAACGUUCGGAAACGGACGCUAAUACCGCAUACGUCCUACGGGAGAAAGCAGGGGACCUUCGGCCCUUGCGCUAUCAGAUGAGCCUAGGUCGGAUUAGCUAGUUGGUGAGGUAAUGGCUCACCAAGGCGACGAUCCGUAACUGGUCUGAGAGGAUGAUCAGUCACACUGGAACUGAGACACGGUCCAGACUCCUACGGGAGGCAGCAGUGGGGAAUAUUGGACAAUGGGCGAAAGCCUGAUCCAGCCAUGCCGCGUGUGUGAAGAAGGUCUUCGGAUUGUAAAGCACUUUAAGUUGGGAGGAAGGGCAGUAAAUUAAUACUUUGCUGUUUUGACGUUACCGACAGAAUAAGCACCGGCUAACUCUGUGCCAGCAGCCGCGGUAAUACAGAGGGUGCAAGCGUUAAUCGGAAUUACUGGGCGUAAAGCGCGCGUAGGUGGUUUGUUAAGUUGGAUGUGAAAUCCCCGGGCUCAACCUGGGAACUGCAUUCAAAACUGACUGACUAGAGUAUGGUAGAGGGUGGUGGAAUUUCCUGUGUAGCGGUGAAAUGCGUAGAUAUAGGAAGGAACACCAGUGGCGAAGGCGACCACCUGGACUAAUACUGACACUGAGGUGCGAAAGCGUGGGGAGCAAAC